rnacentral:lncRNA from 1 species
GAUCUAAUAAGUCAAUUCAAUGAAUUAAUUAUUAUGUAUUAACCAAUUUUUGAAUUUUCUGUUUGAAUGGGAUCUGGAAAUUACUCUUUGAGGAGUCCAAAUGGAGGUAUAAUAAAUCUCUUGGAGGUUAAACAAAUUAUUACCUUUUUAAAAUGAUUUACUGAUUUAUAUAUUACUAACAAAAAAUAAACAAACACUUUUUUGAAUUGUUAGCAUUAUAUUAUCUAAAUAAACAAAUAAAUCUAAAAAUUACAAUUAAUGGAAAAUAUUAAAGGGAAUAUAAUAUAUGUAUAUAUUAUUCGGCAUCAAA